rnacentral:RNase_P_RNA from 1 species
AUCAGUAGACAAACGAUUACGUGUACAAAAGGCAACUUUGUACAUGAGGAAAGUCCGAGCUCCAUAGAGCAGGGUGCCGGGUAACGCCCGGUGAAGGCAACUUCAAGGACAGUGCAACAGAAAUAUACCGCUUGUGUAAACAAGUAAGGAUGGAAAGGCGAGGUAAGAGCUCACCGGCAUUUUGGCAACUUAGUGCGACUAUGUAAACCCCACCCGGAGCAACAUCUGACAGUGAGCAAAAUUUGCUCGAUUGCAAAAUAAUACCUCUUUGCACUCACAAAAGGAUGGCAAGAGGUGAAUAGUAAUAUUCAUCCCAGAUAGAUGAUCGUUUUACAGAACUCGGCUUAUUGUUUACUGAUUUUU